rnacentral:rRNA from 1 species
UACGUAGGGUGCGAGCGUUGUCCGGAAUUAUUGGGCGUAAAGAGCUUGUAGGCGGUCUGUCGCGUCGGAUGUGAAAACCCAGGGCUCAACCCUGGGCCUGCAUUCGAUACGGGCAGACUAGAGUUCGGUAGGGGAGACUGGAAUUCCUGGUGUAGCGGUGAAAUGCGCAGAUAUCAGGAGGAACACCGGUGGCGAAGGCGGGUCUCUGGGCCGAUACUGACGCUGAGGAGCGAAAGCGUGGGGAGCGAACAGG